CUACGGGGCGCAGCAGUGGGGAAUAUUGCACAAUGGGCGCAAGCCUGAUGCAGCCAUGCCGCGUGUAUGAAGAAGGCCUUCGGGUUGUAAAGUACUUUCAGCGGGGAGGAAGGGAGUAAAGUUAAUACCUUUGCUCAUUGACGUUACCCGCAGAAGAAGCACCGGCUAACUCCGUGCCAGCAGCCGCGGUAAUACGGAGGGUGCAAGCGUUAAUCGGAAUUACCGGGCGUAAAGCGCACGCAGGCGGGUUGUUAAGUCAGAUGGGAAAUCCCCGGGCUCAACCUGGGAACUGCAUCUGAUACUGGCAAGCUUGAGUCUCGUAGAGGGGGGUAGAAUUCCAGGUGUAGCGGUGAAAUGCGUAGAGAUCUGGAGGAAUACCGGUGGCGAAGGCGGCCCCCUGGACGAAGACUGACGCUCAGGUGCGAAAGCGUGGGGAGCAAACAGGAUUAGAUACCCGUGUAGUC
rnacentral:rRNA from 1 species